rnacentral:rRNA from 1 species
GCUUAGCCCUAAACCUCAAUAAUUAUCAAACAAAAUAUUUGCCUGAGAACUACUGGCCACAGCUUAAAACUCAAAGGACCUGGCGGUGCUUCAUAUCCCUC